GUCCUAGCCGUAAACGUUGGAUGCUAGGUGUGGGCGGACAUUGACCCCGUCUGUGCCGGAGCUAACGCAUUAAGCAUCCCGCCUGGGGAGUACGGCCGCAAGGCUAAAACUCAAAGGAAUUGACGGGGGCCCGCACAAGCGGCGGAGCAUGUGGCUUAAUUCGACGCAACGCGAAGAACCUUACCUGGGUUUGACAUGCGGGGUGAAAGCGUGGAAACACGCUGCUCUUCGGAGCCCGCACAGGUGGUGCAUGGCUGUCGU
rnacentral:rRNA from 1 species